AGAAGGGGAAGUGAACUCGCAAGCUUGAGCUCGCUUUUUCCAGGCACUCCGUGGGCACUCUGUGAAGGCGAGAGCGUGACAUGGUCCUGCUUUUUCUGGCAGCCUUGAUGGCACUGUCAGACUUUGGUCAUGCACAGGACUCUGUGCUGCAGUUUGCACAAGAAACUGCCAUCCAGGUGGGACACAACGCUACUCUGCACUGCAAUUUCUCCACCAGCAGCUCUGCUCCCUACAUCUUCUGGUAUCAGCAGCGCCUGACCCAGUCCCCUCAGUUCUUGCUGCAGGUGAGCAAGUCCAAGCCUCAUGUGCAUUCCGGGAGGAUCUCCUCUGUGCUCUCCGUGGAGAACUCCCAGGUGCUUCUCCACGUGCAAGAUGCCAGGCUCCAGGACAGCGCUGUCUACCUGUGUGCACUGAACCCACACUGGUGCCUGCAGCAUGCAGCUUUAUACAGGAAGGUGCGGGUGCUGUGAGGAGCAGCUCCCUCUCAUCACAGUUUGCAUGGAGCUCUGAGCUGAGCCUGCCCAGCAAGGACACGUGGGGCUUGUGGUGAGCCAGGUGUGAGUGGCAGCCCCUGCUCCUGAUGCCUGGCAGUGUGGUUAGCAUAACCAACAGUAAGGCAAAUGUCCAUAAUGUGGAAGGGGGCUGUUAAUGUGCACCCCUGCCCCCUAGUCUCUCCCUCUCACUGGCCCCAGCAUGUGGAGACACCCACCAUUGUGGUGAGAAAGGGCAUUAGUGUUAUCCAUCUAGUAAUUCAACUAGUAAUUUAUUUGUAGUAAUCUUCAGGAUUUUGUAGUAAUUUUUAGUAUUUCUAGUAAUUUCUUAUGUAAUAAUAAAUCUCUAGUUAUAACCACAACCUGUGGCCAGUCCUCCUUCUGCCAAGGAUCCCUAAAGAACCUGCCAGUGUUCUGUAGUGUUGGGAGACAGACCUGGGUGUAGUCAGCAGGAUCCUUCUGUUAGAAUAAUGAAUGGUUCCCUUGAUAAAUGGGCCACACUGGGGAAGGGUUUUCUUGGAAAUGGAUGGCAAGAUGCAAAGCAGGAAUGGCUAAGGCCAAUACACCACAAUCCAAAUGCAUCAGGGAAUGAAUUUAAUAAAUGCAAAGAUGCGUGUAUGGUAAGGAAAGACAAAAGGAAGGAAGGAGUGUGCUGGUUGUUAGCUGCAACGUGGAAAAUUGAGAAGGAAUGGGCUGGAAGUUUAGAGGAAGAAAACAGAAGGUUGAAAAGGGAAUAUUCAGCCAAAGAUACAGAUGUUUUGGCUGUUGCAGAACAGUGCUUAGACGAAGUCGAGGACUUUUCAGCUUCUCACACUACCCUCCACCAAGGAGGCUGGAGGUGCAGAUGAAGGUGGGAGGAGACACAACCAGGUACAAAGUCCAGAUUUGUUACCCAGUGUACUAUGAGCCAAUCCACACACAACGUCAAGAGAUUGUUUAUUUCAGAAUAGUGCAAGUCUGGGUACCUGGUGGUUUCCCACAAACCUGGCAGCCCUUAAGACUUUCCGUUCAGCUUUCAUAAAACCCCUUCUCGAUACAUUUGCAUGUUUGUACAAUCCCCACCCCUCCAAAUGGUUACAUGAUUAGCACAGUGCUGCCAUGACAGAAUCAUUCUGCGCAUCCUCAGAGAGCAAGGGUCCCUUGUUGGGCCGGGGUCUCCCAGCACACGGGAGUGAUUUUUCCUCUUGUACUUAGGAUAGUACUCGGUGAGUUCACACUAGAAUACUCGUAAUCUUUGUUUUUCAGCUGUCUAUUCAUAUUGCGUUGCUAGGUGACAUAUUCAAGAGCCAAAUGGAGCCAAACUCUUCUUGAACAAGUAAAAGAACACAGGGCAAUGUACACAGUCUGGAACAUGAAAAAUUUGAACUAGAAAUUGUGACUUUUGUUGCUUUUCUUGAGGGUGGAUUGUGAAUGUAGAUGGAUGCCAGCAAGAGUGGCCUUCCAGUACUGAUUAAAAUACCAUUAGUUGGAGGUAACACAAGAAAGAAAAAGGGAAUAGCAUAGGCAAAGUUUUUUUCUGAUGCUGGGAACCCUGAGUUAUGGAGCUGUACUGGGACUGCCUGGGACAGAAUUAACGUUCCCCACAGCAGCCCCUAGAGUGCUGUGCUCUGCACUUGGAGCUAGAACUCCACUGCCAUCACACCAAUGUUUGGGCAAUUAUGGAGCAGUGCUGGCACAGCAUCAAGACACUUUCUCCAACCCCUUCAAAGCCAGGAAGUGGAGGGUGGGCAAGAGGAGGGAGGAGACAUCGCCAGGGCAGCUGACCUAAA